ensembl:lncRNA
GGACAUCAGUAAGCGCUGCCUAUACAGAGCUCAACACAUCUACACCGCCUGCCUUCACACACUGGUUGGCAGAGGCAAUCAAAAACAUAGGAUUUUACUGUGUUUAGUUUAAUUGGUUUCAAUCUGUAAACUCACCGCUAGGUUCCACAUCAUUAAUUCUCCUUGAAUUGUGUCGUCUUGUUUAAAUGUCCCAUAAAUCGUCAGUUAAUGCACGUCAAAUGAAGACUGAUUAUAAUUCGGGUCAAACUCCAAACAUUUUACAUCAGUAAUGUAUUGAGACAUUCAAGCAGACAAAACAGGCAUUUCUGUUAAGAGUUGGCCAUCAUAAAAAGUGUCACACUAAAUAGCUCACUGGUUGAUAGCUUUAGCCACAUACAUACAUACUGUACAUAUACAGUACAUACUGGGCUCUUAUAGAAUUACACAUAUUUCUCAGUGCGUCUGGUAAACCCUACGACGAAUCUAUAACUUGUUUGUAAAAACAAGGUUGAAAGGCUUAUUAUAGCAGUAAUAAAUGAUUACAUUACAUUAGACAAUUGCAGACCCAAGCUGCAUCCAUUUUGGUAAAUACCCAAGACGUAACUUUCAGUAAUAUCAAGGCCAUAUGUUAGUAAAUAAUAGACGGAUCAGUUUAGCUCCCUGGCCCUUUGUCGGGCUCUGUCUCUCUGGUUGUUAUUUAGCCAAUACACUAAUUCAUUAGAAAUGGGCUUUGUUUUUUCUUUUAAUAUUAUAGAUAGCCAAAGUCAUUGUAUUCCAACAGCUGUAGCAGGUGUUGCAGCAGGACCUCGGCUUUACCGCUCACAUUAUUCAUGUUUUGGGAGAACUCCAGACAACAAUCGGAGUCACCGAUUUGGCAGUGGCUUUGGAUAUUCUCAUUAAAUAAUAAAAAAGAAACCUGCUGUUUAACAACAUGUUGCAGACAGGAAGCACUUAGAAAAGAGGACUUGAUGUGUGCAGAUCAAGAGGUCUCUUUCACCGGUUCUCAACAUGAGCAGAACAGGGAACUUUUAAAUGGAUGAGUUCUUCAAAAUGGCCGCCCCGUUUUCCGUGGUUCUGCCAACUUCUGUGUCGGAUGGAGACGAGUUACAGCCACACCAGGACUAAAGCCAAAAGGGGUUCCACGGUGGCCCCUGGCCUUCAGAUGGCGGUGUUGGUCCCCUUGAGGCAGACUGUCACCAGCGAGUCUUCACACCGGGCCUCACAGGAGCACAUGAGCCACAUGUGCGCGGACAUCCUGGUCGGGGUGGGAGAGCAGUUGGACCAGCCUGCUGUGCAGCGUGGAGGACGGGUCCAGCAGCACCCGGUACAGGCAGUCCUGCCGGCUGCGCAGCUCGGCCGCCACUGGGGAGGACGGCGUCCACGCCUUCAGGUUCCCUGCGAAGGCCAGAAGGCGCUGGAGCACCGCAGGGGCCGUCUGCAGGUCAAACAGCAGCACAACAGACGCGGGCACCUACAACCAAGAACCACCAUCAGAAUCACCUACAACCAAGAACCACCAUCAACACCACCUACAACCAAGAACCACCAUCAACACAACCUACAACCAAGAACCACCAUCAGAAUCACCUACAACAAAGAACCACCAUCAACACCACCUACAACCAAGAACCAACAUCAACACCACCUACAACCACCAUCACCUAAACACCAUCACCUACAACCAAGAACCACCAUCAACAACACCUACAACCAAGAACCAACAUCAACACCACCUACAACCAAGAACCAACAUCACCAAUAACCAAGAAACACCAUCACCUACAACCAAAAGCCACCAUCAACAACACCUACAACCAAGAACCACCAUCAUCAACACCUACAACCAAGAACCACCAUCAACAACCAAGAACUACCAUCACCUACAACCAAGAACCACCAUCAUCAACACCUACAACCAAGAACCACCAUCAACAACCAAGAACUACCAUCACCUACAACCAAGAACCACCAUCAACAACCAAGAACAACCAUCAACAACCAAGAACCACCAUCAACAACACCUACAACCAAGAACCACCAUCACCUACAACCAAGAACCACCAUCACCUACAACCAAGAACCACCAUCAGAAUCACCUACAACCAAGAACCACCAUCACCUACUACCAAGAACCACAAUCAUCUACAACCAAGAACCACCAUCAACAGCACCUACAACCAAGAAGCACCAUCAACACCACCUACAACCAAGAACCACCAUCAACACCACCUACAGCCAAGAACCACCAUCAACAACCAAGAACCACC